rnacentral:lncRNA from 1 species
CUACCUUUGGUUACUGUUUAUGCCGCCGGCCGGCUAUAAUCUCAUCCACAUUAAUGCAUGGCAGAUAUCUCAGUCAACUGUCAUGCUAUAUCAUAAUUACAAGUCAAAGUAAUAGAUAUUAAAUGAUUCAAUGGGUUAGUCCAAUGAACCGGCCCGGUCUUAUAGGAUUAAAUAAGGAUAACACGGUGGCCAGACCCAAUGACUUUCAUGGCUCAAUAAUAAAAAGCCCAAUGAAUUUAAUUUAAUAAGUGAACCCAAUUUAUCCGGCCCAAAAAAG